GUGCUUACUUCAGUGGCACAUAUCCAAAAUUGGAAUGAUACGGAGAAGAUUAGUAUGCGCUCCUGCACAAGAAUGACACACAAAAUCAUGAAGCAUUCCAUAUUUGU
rnacentral:snRNA from 1 species